rnacentral:rRNA from 1 species
CAAUAGCGUAUAUUAAAGUUGUUGCAGUUAAAAAGCUCGUAGUUGGAUUUCUGGGAGGGUGCCAAUGUCCGUCGUCGGUACGUGUUGCAGCGGCGCCCUUCCAUCCUUCUGUUAACGACUUUGGGCAUUCACUUGCCGGAGUCGGGCUCAGAUAUUUUAACCUUGAGAAAAUUAGAGUGUUUCAGGCAGGCUUUCGCCGGAAUACAUUAGCAUGGAAUAAUGGAAAAGGACUUCAACCUCUUCUGUUGGUCUUGAGUAGGCUGUAGUAAUGAUUAAAGUAGGGAUAGUUGGGGGCAUUAGUACUUAACUGUCAGAGGUGAAAUUCUCCGAUUUGUUAAAGACUAACUUAUAGCGAAAGCAAUUUGCCUAAGGAUGGUUUUCAUUUAAUCUAAGAACG